CAGCCGCCGCGGUAAUACGUAGGGUGCAAGCGUUAAUCGGAAUUACUGGGCGUAAAGCGUGCGCAGGCGGUUUGUUAAGACAGAUGUGAAAUCCCCGGGCUCAACCUGGGAACUGCAUUUGUGACUGGCAAGCUAGAGUGUGGCAGAGGGGGGUGGAAUUCCGCGUGUAGCAGUGAAAUGCGCAGAUAUGCGGAGGAACACCGAUGGCGAAGGCAGCCCCCUGGGCCAACACUGACGCUCAUGCACGAAAGCGUGGGGAGCAAACAGGAUUAGAGACCCCUGUAGUCCCUGUCUCUUAUAC
rnacentral:rRNA from 1 species